UCAUAUGUUCAUUUAAAAAAAAAAGAACACAUCUAAAAAACAAAAAAUAUUCAGAAGAACCAUUCUAGUAUUGUUCAUCUUUUCUGGGUUUCCUUACAUCUCUCUCAAAGAGCGUCUCUCUCUCAAUUGUCAGACUGAAACUCUAUUCUUUCUAAAUUGGUUUUGCUGUCGCCGACUCGCCGUCACAGGUGCGGGCAACCGGUUUUCCUUCUUGCUUCUGGGUCAGUGGAUCAAGGAUCUGAAAGCCGAGCUUGCUUUGCUCUGUGUUGCCAAGGUCACUGGUCUUUUCUCUGUUUACUUUGAUGGGUUGCUUUCUUUUUGAAUUGAUUUUGGUGGUUCAUGGAUUCUAACCUAUUUCUUAUUCUGUGAAAAGGAAUUUUUGUUUUUGGGUCGGUUGAGUGUGCAUGUGGUGUUUUGCUCUGUUUAAUCUUUGUCUGAAGGUGAAUCUUGGGUGCUGCUAUUCUUCGAUUGCUUCUAUGUACUCUUUUUCUCUUCAUGUUAUUUGGUGUAAUACUUUGGAUGACUCUUUGGGUUGUUUUGUUGUUUCUAAAGUUUUAGUUUUUAUUGGAAUUUACAUGCCAAUUAGAGUAAUGACAGAUCAGAUUUCAAAAACUAGCAAUGACGUAUCAGAGUUCAAAUGUACUGUGUUUUUGGUUAAAAAGUGAUUUUAAAACUGAAUUUUUGGUUUAAAAUAGGGCUUGUUUGGGUGUAAGAGAAAAUGGAGAAGCAGGGCACUUGCUUAUACUCAUCAGCAUGAAGAUGGGUUUGAGGUGGUUGUUAUUGGUCAAAGCUGAUGUAAGAAUCCAUUAAUGCUGGAAGAGAUAAAGAUCCUGUGUCAUCAUAGCAGCUUCCCAUGCUAUUAGUGUUUGGACUAGUUGAUGGAGUACUCCCACUUGCUUGAUAAAGCAGAUGAGUGUGAGGAUCUAUACAUGCGGCUUGUGUAUGCAUAUGAUCUCAGAAAGGAAGGUAAGGUCGUUAGAGUCGGUUCGUUCGUUUCAUGGGAACUUUUCAACGAGCAAUCGGAAGCAUACAAGGAGAGUGUUCUCCCUGCUGCUGUUUCAGCUAUGUUUAGCAUUGAGCAUGGAUCAAGAUUUGGGUAGGAGAGAAUCAUUGGAAGCAAUAGGCAUUGAUCGAUUCGGAGCUAGCGCUCCAGCAGGAAAAAUAUACAAAGAGUUUGGCAUCACAAAGGAAGCUGUUAAUGCUGCAGCAAAAUCACUUAUCUAAGAUGUAUUAGUUUCUUUAUUUUUGUUUCUCCCUUGGUUUGAGUUGAUGAUUACAUUUAGAGGGAAAUUUGCAUGAGGCAUGUUUAAAGGGCAUUCCUUUACUUGAAUAAGGAAUAGGUUAGGUUACAGUUGCUUGUGAUUCUCAUUUGAGUUUCUUAGAUCAAAGCAGGAGAUGGAAGUUUUCUGAACUUGUAAGAACACUUUGAACAGUUGAGUUAUGCAUUUACCACACUGU